AGGGCACCACCAGGAGUGGAGCCUGCGGCUUAAUUUGACUCAACACGGGGAAACUUACCCGGCCUGGACACUGGAAGGAUUGACAGAUUGAGAGCUCUUUCUUGAUUCAGUGGGUGGUGGUGCAUGGCCGUUCUUAGUUGGUGGAGCGAUUUGUUUGGUUAAUUCCGAUAACGAACGAGACUCUAGCCUAUUAAAUAGGCUCUCGGCUUUUAAACGCCGGGAGGACUUCUUAGAGGGACAGGUGGCGGUUCAGCCGCACGAAAGAGAGCAAUAACAGGUCUGUGAUGCCCUUUGUUGUCCGGGGCCGCACGCGCGCUACACUGAAGAGAUCAGCGUGCUUUACGUUCCUGCUCCGACCGGAGUGAGGAACCCAGUGAACCUUCUUCGUGAUUGGGAUAGAAGAUUGUAAUUAUUCUUCUUGAACGAGGAAUUCCCAGUAAAUGCGAGUCAUAAGCUCGCGUUGAUUACGUCCCUGCCCUUUGUACACACCGCCCGUCGCUACUACCGAUUGAACGAUUU
rnacentral:rRNA from 1 species